GCCAGAGUGGCGGAAUUGGCAGACGCGCUGGAUUCAAAAUCCAGUGGGAGUUCAUCCCGUGUGGGUUCGAGUCCCACCUCUGGUA
rnacentral:tRNA from 1 species